rnacentral:rRNA from 1 species
GACGAACGCUGGCGGCGUGCCUAAUACAUGCAAGUUGAGCGCUGAAGGUUGGUACUUGUACCAACUGGAUGAGCAGCGAACGGGUGAGUAACGCGUGGGGAAUCUGCCUUUGAGCGGGGGACAACAUUUGGAAACGAAUGCUAAUACCGCAUAAAAACUUUAAACACAAGUUUAAAGUUUGAAAGAUGCAAUUGCAUCACUCAAAGAUGAUCCCGCGUUGUAUUAGCUAGUUGGUGAGGUAAAGGCUCACCAAGGCGAUGAUACAUAGCCGACCUGAGAGGGUGAUCGGCCACAUUGGGACGGAGACACGGCCCAAACUCCUACGGGAGGCAGCAGUAGGGAAUCUUCGGCAAUGGACGAAAGUCUGACCGAGCAACGCCGCGUGAGUGAAGAAGGUUUUCGGAUCGUAAAACUCGGUUGGUAGAGAAGAACGUUGGUGAGAGUGGAAAGCUCAUCAAGUGACGGUAACUACCCAGAAAGGGACGGCUAACUACGUG